AGCUCAAAUAAAGAGGUCUUUCCAACAUCUUUAUCACCAAUUAAAACUAUCUAUUCCAUACAAAAGGAAAGAAGUCUAUUUACAAGAUCUCUGCAACGCCAUGUUUGGUAGACUCUGCCCCCUAACUCUGCCCCUCACAUUUUUGUGGUUUCAACUAAAAUGCAUGUUAAAAUAAUGAAACAUGCAGCCAGGAUUAGUAGAUAUCCUUCUUGUUUCAGGUUGACUUUAUAUACCUAUAGAUAGAAAUCAUGCUCAAAAAUAUUAGGUUGAUCUAUUUAAAUUUAUUUUCUACCAUAUUUUAUGACCAUGAUCUGUGCUGAUCUGUGUUAAUUGGCGCUGCAUGAGCUUCUCACGGGCUGCUCUAAGAACAGUAUAAAAUCACUGAUAGACAGUCCAUAACCUCAGUAUAAAUCAUAGUUGCCUGCAGGAACUUUCAAUAUUUCCUUAGUCACAAUGAAUGCUAUCACGAACAUGUUUUGUCUUCUCCUAUUGGUACUUCAGUCAUCUAAAUGCUCAGCACAGCAGUGCACAGAGAAGUUCAUGGACUUAUCAUUAGUGAAGUACAGAGCUGAGCAUAUUGGGAGUGAGUCUGCAGGCUAUAUUUUAAGAGAAGAGACCAUAGUCCUACAAGAGUACCGAUUCAAUUGCUCAUACACCAGAAUAACUCAUCUUAUCCUGGGUAUUGAUGUAAGAUCAAGGCUCACAUUUCAACUUUUUCCUAAAGUCCAAAUUUUGCGAUCAAGAAAAAAAUCUAGCUUACAAUAUGAUGUUGUGAGUGAGAGAGUUAUCUAUUAUUCCACCACUAAUGUCAGUACUAGUGGAGUCUUUG